rnacentral:tRNA from 1 species
UCCCUUGUAGCUCAGCUGGUAAAGAAUCUGCCUGCAAUGCAGGAGACACUGGUUCGAUCCCAGGUUGGGAAG